ACCCUAGUGGUGUAGUGGUCAGCACACUCGAAGCGUGUUCGAGAGUUCCGCGGUUCGAAUCCCGGCGAGGGUA
rnacentral:tRNA from 1 species